rnacentral:rRNA from 1 species
AUUGAACGCUGGCGGCCGGCCUAACACAUGCAAGUCGAGCGAGCGGCGGACGGGUGAGUAAUGUAUGUGGACUUCCCGAUAGAGGUGUAUAACUCCUGGCCCCGGUUUCUAAUACCGCCUCCUCUCGGAUACCCCAUAUGGGAUUAGCUAGUAGGUGGUGUAAAGGCUCACCUAGGCGACGAUCUGUAGCUGGUCUGAGAGGAUGAUAAGCAAAACUGGGAAGGAGACACGGCCAAGACGCCGACGGAGGAAGCAGUGGGGAAUAGGGGACAAUGGGGGAAAGCGUGAGGCAGAAAUGCGGAGUGUAGGAAGAAGGCGUGAGGGGGGUAAAGUAAGUGAAGGGGGGAGGCGUUACCCGCAGAAGAAGCACCGGCUAACUCCGUGCCAGAAGCCGCGGGAAUAC